AAACCAGCAAGCUCAUCCCCCAUGAAAAGAGAAUAAGAAAAACAGCCAGAGGAUUGCUCAGCAUUUCAGAGGACAGGACAGAGGGGCAGGCACUGCAAUGAUAACACUCACCAUUGCCAAUCAGAUAUGAAUAUAGUAGGUGCGUGGAAGAGAGGUUACACUGGAAAGAAUGUUGUGGUGACCAUCUUGGAUGACGGCAUUGAAAGAAACCAUCCAGACUUGAUGCAAAAUUAUGAUUCGCAGGCCAGUUUUGAUGUCAAUGGAAAUGAUUUUGACCCUAUGCCUCGAUAUGAUGCCAGCAACGAGAACAAGUAAGGCACUAUGACACUUACACAUUUUCAGUUUUGUUCAUCAAAGAAAGAAUACCAGUUUUGCUCCAGAAGCCUAGGAAACUUGAACUGUAAUAAAGCAGUGUGAUUUGC